rnacentral:lncRNA from 1 species
UCGCACCUCAUCACAAUUCACCACAGCUCACACUCCACACCUGCCAACCGAAGAUGUCGUGGUUCGGGCACCACCACCACAACCAGCCGGCUCCCGCGGCGUCGGGCCCCAACCAGGUGUUCAAGAUCUUCUGCCGCGCCAACGAGAAUUACUGCCUCGCCGUCCGCGACGGCGCCGUCGUGCUCGCCCCCGCCAACCCCAAGGAUGACCACCAGCACUGGUACAAGGACAUGCGCUUCAGCACCAGGGUCAAGGACGAGGAAGGCAUGCCGGCCUUCGCCCUCGUCAACAAGGCCACCGGCCUCGCCAUCAAGCACUCGCUCGGCCAAUCCCACCCGGUAAGUAUUUACUUGUCUGUCUGUACAUGUUCAUCUACCAUCAGCAAGGAGAUGGAGAUCGAUUCUGAUUGCAAUCCGAUCGAUCCAUAUGCUGUAUGCAGGUGAAGCUGGUGCCCUUCAACCCUGCCGAGGAGGACGCGUCGGUGCUGUGGACGGAGAGCAAGGACAUCGGCAAGGGCUUCCGCUGCAUCCGCAUGGUCAACAACACCCGCCUCAACUUCGACGCCUUCCACGGCGACAAGGACCACGGCGGCGUCCACGACGGCACCACCGUCGUGCUCUGGGAUUGGUGCAAGGGCGAGAACCAGAGCUGGAAGAUCCUGCCAUGGGGCCCCGAGGCGCACUCCCCCGCCGCCGGGCCCGGGAACGCCUCCAUCGGCGGCGUCCCCGUGCACACCGUCCGCGUCUUCUGCAAGGCCGGCGAGGACUACAGCCUGACGGCGCGCAACGGCACGGUGUGCCUGGCGCCCUCCAACCCCAGGGACGAGUACCAGCACUGGAUCAAGGACAUGAGGCACAGCACCCGGAUCAGGGACGAGGAGGGCUACCCGGCCUUCGCCCUCGUCAACAAGGUCACCGGCGAGGCCAUCAAGCACUCCACGGGGCAGGGCCACUCCGUCAAGCUGGUCCCCUACAACCCGGACUACCAGGACGAGUCGGUGCUCUGGACCGAGAGCCGCGACGUCGGCGACGGCUUCCGCUGCGUCCGCAUGGUGAACAACAUCUACCUCAACUUCGACGCCUUCCACGGCGACAAGGCCCACGGCGGCGUCCACGACGGCACCGAGAUCGUGCUCUGGGAGUGGGCCAAGGGCGACAACCAGCGCUGGAAGAUCCUCCCCUGGUGUAAGUGUACAUCCAUGCCAUUGAUGCCCUGCCUUACAUCCUUUGAAAAUCUCAUGUUUUCCAAUCAAUGGUUGCUUGCGUUCGCAGAGAUCGAUGGAGACGGCGGAACCUGAUGGACUGGAACCAAGGAGCUGCUACCUAAUAAUAACCGAUUACUGCAGCGAUUGAAUAAACCGUGUGUUAUGUUGUAAUCGCGGAUUUCGGAGUUGUAUUUGCGUCAGACUGUCGGUCACAGUGUGACUAGUGUCCUGUCCCUUCUGUGAGCCUGGCCUUAGUGCCUCACCAUGUGAGGAGUGACCUGUAUUGUGGAGGAGUAGCCUCGAUCUGAUCCUGCAUUGUGGUGCGAUCCUUCUGGCUUUCUUUCGAUUUCCGGCGCCACAACUCUGUAUCAUCUCGUCUCCUUUGUUCUACUGAAUGAAUAUGCAUCUGCAUUCCGUUUCACCUAUCUUUGCGCUGGGGACCAACUCUGUUCCAUGGUCCACGUGAAACCCC